rnacentral:rRNA from 1 species
GACGAACGCUGGCGGCAUGCCUAAUACAUGCAAGUCGAACGAACCAAACUGAAGAUUGAUGCUUGCAUCAUGAUUCAGACCUUGGUGAGUGGCGGACGGGUGAGUAACACGUGGGUAACCUGCCCAAAAGUGGGGGAUAACAUUUGGAAACAAGUGCUAAUACCGCAUAACAACUACUUUCACAUGAUCGUAGCUUGAAAGAUGGCUCUGCUAUCGCUUUUGGAUGGACCCGCGGCGUAUUAGCUAGUUGGUGAGGUAAUAGCUCACCAAGGCAAUGAUACGUAGCCGACCUGAGAGGGUAAUCGGCCACAUUGGGACUGAGACACGGCCCAAACUCCUACGGGAGGCAGCAGUAGGGAAUCUUCCACAAUGGGCGAAAGCCUGAUGGAGCAAUGCCGCGUGAGUGAAGAAGGUUUUCGGAUCGUAAAACUCUGUUGUUGAAGAAGAACAUGCGUGAGAGUAACUGUUCACGUACUGACGGUAUUCAACCAGAAAG